AAUAAUAAAAUAAUGUAAUUUUAUUUACAUUCACGAAAGUUAUGCGAGCUACGUAAAUCAUAAUAUUAGUUAAUAUAGAGUAUGUUUCAUAAUACUUAUGAUAGGUUUACUUAGAGGUGAUAGGCCCACAAGCUAAUUGAUAUCUUGAUGCGUAGGAAAUAUAUUUAGUAUAUAGGCACACUGCAAAAGUCAAGCUUGGCAGUUUUGAUAAAUUAAAAUAAUAGACGUUAUUUAGUAUAAUCACUUGAUAUUGUUUUUACAAAUAUUAUUCAUAUUUUAUUAUCAGUAGUACUACGCUAUAUAUUUUAUGUAUAAUAUGAAUUAUGUUAUUAUUAGUAGUAAAUCAAAUAUUAUAAAGGAACUCGGCAAACAAUUUUUCAACUGUUUAUCAAAAACAUAGCUGCAUGAAGUAUUAUAUGUAGUUACUUCUGCUCCAUGGUUUUACUAAAUAGCCGCAGUACUCUGACUGUGCAAAGGUAGCAUAAUCAGUUGGCUCUUAAUUAGGGUCUGGUAUGAACGAAUGUAUGGAAAGUAGCUGUCUCUAUAAUAGAUUCCAAAAUUGGUAGUAAGUGCAAAUCCUUACAUAUAUCUAAUAGACGAGAAGACCCUAGAAGCUUAAAAAAUUUUUUGUUGGGGCGACAGAACUACAAUUAAACUAGUUUUAUAAUACAAGACGUAUACUGUAAGAUAAAGCUACUCUAGGGAUAACAGCAUAAUGUAAACGUUUGUGACCUCGAUGUUGGACUAGGUAAAACGUCCUCUAGAAGAGGACUUUUUCGGCUCUGUUCGAGCUUUUGCACCUACAUGAUCUGAGUUCAGACCGG
rnacentral:rRNA from 1 species